UGGCCAUAAUUCAUUGUCAAAAGGGUGGUUGGCUAUUGAUGUCAAAAGGUAGGUUUACCUUAUUCUUCUACAACCCUUUACCAAAGAGACCAUUCAGCUUCGGGAGUCGCAAUGUGGUUAUGGAUUUUCUGGUAUUUCAUUCUCCUCCUUACAAACUUGCUCAGACUGUGUAGUUUUUGGCAUUACGCAACAAAAUGAAGAAGAGAUUUUCAUUUAUGCCAUUAAAAGGGGAGCUGACAGUUGGAGAUUUCCUAUAUUUGAAAAUAGUGAUUUGGAGGCGUACAUGCCAACUUUUAAUGAACCAGUUUUUCACAAGGGUGCUUUUUAUUGCGUAGAUUAUAACGGAACCUUGGGAGUUUUUGAUGAGCAUAAGUGGAGUUGGAGUGUUCUCAAAUGGCCUCGUGGAUUCUCUAAUGCUGCAUAUGUUAGUUUCUUGGUGGAGUGUGACGACGACCUUUUAUGUGGGCAAAGUCUAUUUCCCGAGAAUGCACGGCAAACGGAUUUUAUACUACUCGCUUGAGACAGGUAGUUAUCAUUCAGUUGGAAGUACUCAUUCUGCCAAGGCUUAUUUUUGACACGAAGGGCUGGACGAACUGUACUUGGAUUGAACCUAAUUGGUCGCGAUCCACAUCUCAAGAGCUCGAUUGGCUUAUUAAGAAUCCUCUGUGAACCAGAACUAGUUUCUUCUUGUUAAGUCUAUAUUAGGAUUUAAUCCGUUUUUUUAGUUAUUUAUGUUUGUUGAGGUUGAAUUAGAGAUGCAUACUUGCUAUGAGUAUAUUAUAGAGUAUUUAGGUGUUUCAGACGACAUACAGUUUUGGUAUCUGAUUACUGCAAUAGAUUGGUCUAAUUAUUGCUUGAUAUAAUGUCAUGUUCAACUGUGGUUGCUUUUUUCAGACUGGAAAAAACGCACUCUCCAGGGCUCGAACGGAUAUAUACUGAUAGUUUAUUAUUCCUUUUUGUGGUCUACAAGACGACUUUGCUUCUGUAUAUACUUAGCAAGUGAACCUACAUUAUCGAUGUUUCUGCAUAUAGAUGUAUGUAUACACGCAGCAGGAUUCUGAGAGUUUGGCUUAGGCAUCAAAAUGCCAGGGGACGGCCAUGUUUAUGCUUUGCUUAAAGGGAAGUUCACCAUGGAAUCAUUUCGAAGAGCUUUUGUUGGUUCCGAGACUGGGACUCUUCAGCUUGAGAUCUUUUUCAGAGGUUGUUCAGGCAAGACUUGUUAGUUGCUAGCCUGUUCAGGAACUUCUUAUUCGCUGAACGAAUAAUGCGUUUGCUCACCAAUUUCACAUCCUAUGUUGCCUUCAAUUCAUCAGCAUCAUAUGUGGUAUGUAUCUGAAAUUUUUUAACGGAAUAUUGUUGUUCUUUGACGAUUUCUUGGGAAUUUUAACCAGCCAUUGCAGCUUCCGUCAUUGGUUAAAGAAGCUAAUGCGGAGUUCCAGGUAGGUAAUGUAUGAAUACAUUGUUUAGGAGUUUUGAACUGGAUUUAAGUUUUUUUUUUUUUUUAAACCUUCAGUAGUCGAGCAUGGAUUGCAUUUAUCUUGAAGAUUGAGAAUGAAUUAUGUUGACCUGGUCUUCAGUGUCAUCGGUUUCGGGCACUGGUCCUUCUUGGUCGAUUCCAUGAUAUGGAACCUUAUAGUUAUAGGCUGUUGAUCUGGCCUCAUCUGUUGGAAUCUUUCCAUAUGUUCUCAAAGUGCUACAAACAACAGCAGUGGAGUUGAAGCAUAUUCUUAUUAUCAGUCAUGUCAGGCAGAUCUGGUGAAGCAUGGUGGCAAGAAUAUUUCAUUAGGUUUCUAGACGGCAUGGAUGCAUAUCCAGAGCAGUGCACAAUGACAGCUUUUGUUCUGGCUGUUAUUAUGGAUUCUCAUAGACGAGGGCAGGAAUCCCGUGCUAAAGCAGAUUUGAUUCAUAUGUGCUUGAGGCAUCUUCAUCCUACAAAUAACACACACAAUGCUCAGUCAGAGCCCUUACUUCUUCAGUGGCUUUGUCUCUUCCUGGGGUAACUGUGGGAGGAUUUCCCCCGAAGCGCAGAAUAUGGGUUUGGGUGUUGAUGCAUCUUUGAUUCUUGCAACACUACUGUCAGAACCCUAACCUGAGGUCAGGAUGUGUGCUGUGUUUCCUUACCAUUCUUGACACUGGAUUUUGAUGAAAGUCCUGUAGUUUCGCCUGAAGUAGCUGUAGCUCCUGCAGGCUUUGCUUCCGGCCGUUAUAACAUUUUACACUCACCUGCUGCAGCAUACGAACUUUAAGCCAUUAUCCAACUCCCUGCUGGGUUCGUUACCAUCAUUGGCUAAUAUUACUGGUAAAAGUAGUGGUUAUCCUAGCACUAGCCGGUACAUGCAACCUGGAGGUACAAUUCCUUCUCUUAUUGGUCCUGUGUUGAGGGUUGGAAGUGAUCAUAUAUCCGUGAGCCGAGAUGGGAGUGUCUCCACCAGCAGCCCUAUUGCUACUUUGUGAAUAGUGCGCACAUAUGGCUCUCCAUUAUCAGAUGAAAUUCAUGUCAACAUUCUGGUUCUGGAGUACAGUUAAAUGAUGCCGCGAGCAAUGGGGUUAUUGCUUAUUCAAGGUCAUGGCCUUUUGAAAGUGGAAUGUAUUUGCAGUGUGGACUCUAGCGUAAGGAUCCAUCAGCCCCUGUGGCAUGACUUGGACAUAAAGUACUCCUGAUAGUUGGUACUCCUACAAAAGCGUUGCGUUUCAGUGGUGGUAGCAAUGUCCGUCAGGGUGAUCUUCCAGCUACUACUCCUAGCUACUCCUAAGUCCUAACCUUGCUGGACUAGCAUUAUCAAAUUCAUGGUUCGACAUGAAUUCAGGUAAUCUAUCUGUG